UAGGUAAUCUUCCACAAUGGACGCAAGUCUGAUGGAGCAACGCCGCGUGAGUGAAGAAGGUUUUCGGAUCGUAAAGCUCUGUUGUUGGUGAAGAAGGAUAGAGGCAGUAACUGGUCUUUAUUUGACGGUAAUCAACCAGAAAGUCACGGCUAACUACGUGCCAGCAGCCGCGGUAAUACGUAGGUGGCAAGCGUUGUCCGGAUUUAUUGGGCGUAAAGCGAGCGCAGGCGGAAUGAUAAGUCUGAUGUGAAAGCCCACGGCUCAACCGUGGAACUGCAUCGGAAACUGUCAUUCUUGAGUGCAGAAGAGGAGAGUGGAAUUCAAUGUGUAGCGGUGGAAUGCGUAGAUAUAUGGAAGAAAACCAGUGGCGAAGGCAGCUCUCUGGUCUGCAACUGACGCUGAGGAUAGAAAGCAUGGGUAGCGAACAGG
rnacentral:rRNA from 1 species